rnacentral:rRNA from 1 species
GAUGAACGCUAGCUACAGGCUUAACACAUGCAAGUCGAGGGGCAGCAUGAAAGGAACUUCGGUUCUUUUUGAUGGCGACCGGCGCACGGGUGCGUAACGCGUAUCGAACCUGCCUCAUACUCGGGGAUAGCCUUGCGAAAGUAAGAUUAAUACCCGGCGGUCUCGGAUGGCCGCAUGACUGUCCGAGUGAAGAUUUAUCGGUAUGAGAUGGCGAUGCGUCCCAUUAGCUUGUUGGUGAGGUAACGGCUCACCAAGGCAUCGAUGGGUAGGGGUUCUGAGAGGAAGGUCCCCCACAUUGGAACUGAGACACGGUCCAAACUCCUACGGGAGGCAGCAGUGAGGAAUAUUGGUCAAUGGACGAAAGUCUGAACCAGCCAAGUAGCGUGCAGGAAGACGGCCCUCUGGGUUGUAAACUGCUUUUAGUUGGGAAUAAGAAGAGGGACGUGUCCCUUAUUGUAUGUACCAUCAGAAAAAGGACCGGCUAAUUCCGUGCCAGCAGCCGCGGUAAUACGGAAGGUCCGGGCGUUAUCCGGAUUUAUUGGGUUUAAAGGGAGCGCAGGCGGCGGCGUAAGUCAGUUGUGAAAUCGUGCGGCUUAACCGUGCAAUUGCAGUUGAUACUGCGUCGCUUGAGUGCACACAGGGAUGUUGGAAUUCAUGGUGUAGCGGUGAAAUGCUUAGAUAUCAUGAAGAACUCCGAUCGCGAAGGCAUAUGUCCGGAGUGCAACUGACGCUGAGGCUCGAAAGUGUGGGUAUCAAACAGG